UACGUAGGGUGCAAGCGUUAAUCGGAAUUACUGGACGUAAAGCGUGCGCAGGCGGUUUUGUAAGUUUGUCGUGAAAUCCCCGGGCUCAACCUGGGAAUUGCGAUGAAGACUGCAAGGCUAGAAUCUGGCAGAGGGGGGUAGAAUUCCACGUGUAGCAGUGAAAUGCGUAGAGAUGUGGAGGAACACCGAUGGCGAAGGCAGCCCCCUGGGUCAAGAUUGACGCUCAUGCACGAAAGCGUGGGGAGCAAACAGG
rnacentral:rRNA from 1 species